rnacentral:rRNA from 1 species
UGGGGAAUAUUGCACAAUGGGCGCAAGCCUGAUGCAGCCAUGCCGCGUGUGUGAAGAAGGCCUCGGGUUGUAAAGCACUUUUGUCCGGAAAGAAAUCCUUGGCUCUAAUACAGUCGGGGAUGACGGUACCGGAAGAAUAAGCACCGGCUAACUACGUGCCAGCAGCCGCGGUAAUACGUAGGGUGCAAGCGUUAAUCGGAAUUACUGGGCGUAAAGCGUGCGCAGGCGGUUUGCUAAGACCGAUGUGAAAUCCCCGGGCUCAACCUGGGAACUGCAUUGGUGACUGGCAGGCUAGAGUAUGGCAGAGGGGGGUAGAAUUCCACGUGUAGCAGUGAAAUGCGUAGAGAUGUGGAGGAAUACCGAUGGCGAAGGCAGCCCCCUGGGCCAAGUACUGACGCUCAUGCACGAAAGCGUGGGGAGCAAACAGGAUUAGAUACCCUGGUAGUCCACGCCCUAAAGCGAUGUCAACUAGUUGUUGGGGCAUUCA